GGGUGGCGAUCUGGCUUCGACAUCUGUCCCCCCAUUGAUCGCCAGGGUUGAUUCGGCUGAUCUGGCUGGCUAGGAGGGUGUCCCCUUCCUCACUGCUCCAUUUGCAUUCCUCCAAAGCUGCGUGGGUCGAAGAGGACGACCAUCCCCGAUAGAGGAGGACCGGUCUUUGGUCAAGGGUAUACGAACGAGUAGCUGCGCUCCCCUGCUAGAGCCUCCAAACAAGCUCUCAAGGUCCGAUGUCACAUGCAGAACUUUGAGAUUCCUUUGAAGCAUUAAAUAGCCAACAUCUCCUCUCUCUGACCAAAGUGCCCAUCUU
rnacentral:snRNA from 1 species